rnacentral:misc_RNA from 1 species
GAUGUUCUCCUGCGCCUUCAUGUCGUAGCGCACGAAGUCCUGGAAGAUGACGCCCACCUCGCGGUGGUAGUCUUCGGGGUCGUACUGCGAGAGCGGCACCCCGUCGAGCAGGAUCUCCCCGCGGGUGGGCUCGUACAGCCGCAGCAUCAGCUUGAUGAGCGUCAUCUUCCCCGCCCCGUUCUCCCCCACCAGGGCCAGCCGUUCCCCCGGCGGGAUGCGGA